rnacentral:rRNA from 1 species
UACGUAGGUGGCAAGCGUUGUCCGGAUUUACUGGGCGUAAAGAGCGCGCAGGCGGUCGAAUAAGUCGAAUGUGAAAGCCCCCGGCUUAACUGGGGAGGGUCAUUCGAUACUGCUCGACUUGAAGGCAGGAGAGGGUAGUGGAAUUCCCGGUGUAGCGGUGAAAUGCGUAGAGAUCGGGAAGAACAUCGGUGGCGAAAGCGCUCUACUGGACCGCAACUGACACUCAGGGACGAAAGCUAGGGGAGCGAAUGGG